GUAAAUGUAGUUUAAAAAAAAACAUUAGAUUGUGAAUCUAAUAAUAGAAGCUUACUACCCUCUCAUUUACC
rnacentral:tRNA from 3 species